rnacentral:rRNA from 1 species
GACGAACGCUGGCGGCGUGCUUAACACAUGCAAGUCGAACGAUGAACCCGGAGCUUGCUCUGGGGGAUUAGUGGCGAACGGGUGAGUAACACGUGAGUAACCUGCCCUGGACUCUGGGAUAAGCGUUGGAAACGACGUCUAAUACCGGAUAGGACCUUGGAUCGCAUGAUCUGGGGUGGAAAGUUUUUUCGGUCUGGGAUGGACUCGCGGCCUAUCAGCUUGUUGGUGAGGUAAUGGCUCACCAAGGCGUCGACGGGUAGCCGGCCUGAGUGGGUGACCGGCCACACUGGGACUGAGACACGGCCCAGACUCCUACGGGAGGCAGCAGUGGGGAAUAUUGCACAAUGGGCGAAAGCCUGAUGCAGCAACGCCGCGUGCGGGAUGACGGCCUUCGGGUUGUAAACCGCUUUUAGUAGGGAAGAAGGGCUUCGGCUUGACGGUACCUGCAGAAAAAGGACCGGCUAACUACGUG